GCCACGACAGGAGAGCAACCCUCCUGUCCCAGGUGGCAGAACUGCCGGCUUCUGAGGAAACGCACGCGCUGGGCCCGACGCUCAGCGCCACCCGCCCGGUGCCCCGGAGCCCGCACGCACCCGCGUCCCUCAGAGAAAACGGAUGACGGAAACGUCAAAGCCAGGCUGCUAAGAGGGCGCGUCAGAGCCGGGCGUCUGGGGACGGAGGGCACGUGCUCCCCCUGCUCCACAGGGUUUCCCACGAGUCCUUUCCCCGGAGCAGUGUGAGAGGAACAAAGGCUUCUUUGAGCCCUUUCAACCCAAAAUUAAUUUUGAAAAAAAUGGCCAAGAUGGGUCCUGACGUGCCAGAUGCGCUGACCUUCCACCGGCCACUCCCAGGCCCCCAGAGAAAGCGGCCCUGAUGCCCCGAGAGCUCUUGACCAGAGGCUGUGCGGCGUGGACAAGAGCGCUGCGUCUGGGGCUGGAGGCACUUGGAGGCUGAGGAGCCGCCCGGAGGCUGCAGGCCUUCCUCCUCACUCUUCCUUGCUAACGGUGACUCCCGCUGCUCACUGACUGGUCACACCACCCACGGCGCACACCCACCACAGCCAGAGCUUCCUGGAGUGCCGGGGAUGACUCUGGAUUCUGUACCUGGCGCUGGGUGUGUACACGCGCACAUCUGAGGGAAGGUGGGGGGGGCACAGAACCAGCGGGAAAUGGGUGAAAACGACACGAAUGCACGUGAACCACGGAGACGGGAGAGAGAACGAGAGAAAGGAGCAGAUGACAGAGCAAAAGGCGAGGGAUGCACACCUCACCCGAUGGAAAACUGGC